AUUCACUAAAUGUAAAUCUCACUACCUUUGCACUUUAAAUCUGAGCCCAUUCUCCCCAAGAACAUUGCAUGUGUCAGAGAAGGGUGUACACCAUGGUUUGGGGUGGGGAAUGUUUUGUAACUACUGUUUAUUAUAUACCAUCUCAGUAAAUACCUUUUUUCUAACAGCUAACUAAUGUCAACUGGUUGAUCAAUAUUGAGGGAGCAUACCAGACGGGGUCUCAUGAGUAACAGUAUUAGAAGCUACAAGCUCUCAAGGUUACCUCUAGAAUCCAGAAGAGAGCAGUAACCAGCCACCCUCUGGGAACCCAGCCUGCCAGUUCAAGUGGGAGUUAGAAGAGUGAGGACAAAGGGAGCACUUCAGAGUUUAAAAAAACAAGCUGAAUUGUAUUCAAGUCUCAAGUGGCAGCUGCUUAGCUGAAGAAAGGAAGAAAAUAGCUUUGUGGAACUUCAUUCUGGUGAAUAUACUGGGGUCACUUUGCAGGCUGAGAAGAAAAUUAAGAAAACAUAUUGAUUGAAUUGUCAUUUAUCAAGUUUGAACUGAUAGGAUUUUUUGUUUUGUUUUGUUUUGUUUUGUUUCGACAGGACUCUCAAUCUCAGAGUUUUGUGCAAGACCUACUUUCUUUAGGUUACUUUUACAGGGAAGAGGUGUCAAGAGAAUAAGCCUCUUUUGUGAAUCUUUUCACCAAGCCAUUGAGGACAAAGAAAGCUGUGAAGCAUACUGAGGAUAGAUCUUAUAAGAGACCUCAGACCACCAGCCCUUCUGCUAACCAUCAGAACAUUAGAUCUUGGAUUAACAGAGCCCAAUUUAAAAGACCUUUCCCUCUAGGAGUUGAUAUGUAGGUCCCUAAGAGAUAUUGUCAUUUAGGCUCACCUUAACAAAUGACUCUCUAGUUUUAAGUGAAUUGCUGUGUAUCCUCUUUAUGAUCAAAAUCACAGGAUGUGAUUAUCUUUUUUUUUUGUAAUUGUUAAUUUUUCCAUUGUAUUUGCCUCAGAAGGAGGUAAACUGGUAAGCGAGGAAAAGAACUGGGUGUUUUUAGAAAAGAUGUAUUUUAGUGACUACAAAAGAUGAAUGUUUUCAACAACUUGGUAUUUAAUGUGAACUUGAGAAACAACUCUACUCUGUUUUAAGAUGCAAGCAAUAGAACUUGCUGUGUGAAGUGGGAUUUCUUGGGUCUGCAAUU
rnacentral:lncRNA from 1 species